rnacentral:rRNA from 1 species
GACAGAGGGUGCAAACGUUGUUCGGAUUCACUGGGUUUAAAGGGUGCGUAGGCGGGCAGGUAAGUCAGUGGUGAAAUCUCCGGGCUUAACUCGGAAACUGCCGUUGAUACUAUCUGUCUUGAAUGCUGUGGAGGUAAGCGGAAUAUGUCAUGUAGCGGUGAAAUGCUUAGAUAUGACAUAGAACACCAAUUGCGAAGGCAGCUUGCUACACAGAAAUUGACGCUGAGGCACGAAAGCGUGGGGAUCAAACAGG